rnacentral:tRNA from 1 species
GGAGAAAGAUUUGGAAUAUCCAAAAAAUGUCUAACUGGAAAUCGUGUGUACCCCUAAAAAGGGGUACCGAGGGUUCGAAUCCCUCUCUCUCCGCCA